AGUGAACGCUGGCGGCGUGCUUAACACAUGCAAGUCGAACGAGAACGGAAUAUAGCUUGCUAUCUUUGUCAGCUAAGUGGCGCACGGGUGAGUAAUGUAUAGAUAACCUGCCCUUACGAAAGGAAUAACAGUUGGAAACGACUGCUAAUGCCCUACAUCCCUUUAAUACAUAAGUAUGCAAGGGAAACGCUUUAGUGCUUAAGGAUGGGUCUGUAUGGUAGCAGCUUGUUGGUGAGGUAAUGGCUCACCAAGGCUAUGACGCCUAACUGGUUUGAGAGGAUGAUCAGUCACACUGGAACUGAGACACGGUCCAGACUCCUACGGGAGGCAGCAGUGGGGAAUAUUGCACAAUGGACGAAAGUCUGAUGCAGCAACGCCGCGUGGAGGAUGACACAUUUCGGUGCGUAAACUCCUUUUAUAUAGGAAGAUAAUGACGGUACUAUAUGAAUAAGCACCGGCUAACUCCGUGCCAGCCGCCGCGGUAA
rnacentral:rRNA from 1 species